CGGAGGAUCCAAGCGUUAUCCGGAAUCAUUGGGUUUAAAGGGUCCGUAGGCGGUUUUGUAAGUCAGUGGUGAAAUCCGGCAGCUCAACUGUCAAACUGCCAUUGAUACUGCAGGACUUGAAUUAUUGUGAAGUAACUAGAAUAUGUAGUGUAGCGGUGAAAUGCUUAGAUAUUACAUGGAAUACCCAUUGCGAAGGCAGGUUACUAACAGUGGAUUGACGCUGAUGGACGAAAGCGUGGGGAGCGAACAGGAUUAGAUACCCUGGUAGUCCACGCCGUAAACGAUGGAUACUAGCUGUUCGGAAGCAAUUCUGAGUGGCUAAGCGAAAGUGAUAAGUAUCCCACCUGGGGAGUACGAACGCAAGUUUG
rnacentral:rRNA from 1 species